AUAUAUGGCCAUACCACCCUGAAUGUGCCUAAUAUCAUCUGAUCCAUGAAGCUAAGAAGGGUUGGGCCUGGUCAGAACUUCGAUGGGAGAUACGUUUUGAAUUAGAAAACAACCAUAGACA
rnacentral:rRNA from 1 species